rnacentral:rRNA from 1 species
UGGGGAAUUUUCCGCAAUGGGCGAAAGCCUGACGGAGCAACGCCGCGUGGGGGAGGAAGGCUUUUGGGUUGUAAACCCCUUUUCUCAGGGAAGAAGCCCUGACGGUACCUGAGGAAUCAGCAUCGGCUAACUCCGUGCCAGCAGCCGCGGUAAUACGGAGGAUGCAAGCGUUAAUCGGAAUUACUGGGCGUAAAGCGCGCGUAGGCGGCUUAGUAAGUCGGAUGUGAAAGCCCCGGGCUUAACCUGGGAAUUGCAUUCGAUACUGCUGAGCUAGAGUAUGGUAGAGGGAAGUGGAAUUUCCGGUGUAGCGGUGAAAUGCGUAGAUAUCGGAAGGAACACCAGUGGCGAAGGCGACUUCCUGGGCCAAUACUGACGCUGAGGUGCGAAAGCGUGGGGAGCAAACAGGAUUAGAUACCCCCGUAGUCC